UACGUAGGGUGCGAGCGUUGUCCGGAAUUAUUGGGCGUAAAGAGCUCGUAGGCGGUGUGUCGCGUCGGCCGUGAAAAACUUGCAGCUUAACUGUGGGCGUGCGGUCGAUACGGGCAUCACUGGAGUUCGGCAGGGGGAGACUGGAAUUCCUGGUGUAGCGGUGAAAAUGCGCAGAUAUCAGGAGGAACACCGGUGGCGAAGGCGGGGUCUCUGGGGCCGAUACUGACGCUGAGGAGCGAAAAGCGUGGGGGGAGCGAACAGG
rnacentral:rRNA from 1 species